rnacentral:rRNA from 1 species
UACGUAGGGUGCGAGCGUUGUCCGGAAUUAUUGGGCGUAAAGGGCUCGUAGGCGGUUUGUCGCGUCGGGAGUGAAAACACACAGCUUAACUGUGUGCUUGCUUCCGAUACGGGCAGACUAGAGGUAUGCAGGGGAGAACGGAAUUCCCGGUGUAGAGGUGAAAUUCGUAGAUAUCGGGAGGAACACCGGUGGCGAAGGCGGCGAUCUGGGUAGAUACUGACGCUGAGGUGCGAAAGCGUGGGGAGCAAACAGG